GGGGGCGGAUGGGGCCUGGUGGCUCCUGCGGUCUUCAAAACCGUUUUCGGGGCGCUAACCCGUCCCGGGUGGGUUCGAUUCCUACACGCUCCCGCCA
rnacentral:tRNA from 1 species